rnacentral:rRNA from 1 species
AGAUUGCGUCAGUAGCGGCGAGCGAAAGCGCAAGAGGGCAAACCCAGUGCUUGCACUGGGGGUUGUAGGACUGCAAUGUGCAAGAGGUAAGUUUAGCAGAACAUUCUGGAAAGUAUAACCAUAGAGGGUGAUAGUCCCGUAUGCGAAAAACAAACCUUAGCUAGCAGUAUCCUGAGUAGGGCGGGACACGAGGAAUCCUGUCUGAAUCCGGGUCGACCACGAUCCAACCCUAAAUACUAAUACCAGAUCGAUAGUGCACAAGUACCGUGAGGGAAAGGUGAAAAGAACUGAGGUGAUCAGAGUGAAAUAGAACCUGAAACCAUUUGCUUACAAUCAUUCAGAGCCCUAUGUAGCAAUACAGGGUGAUGGACUGCCUUUUGCAUAAUGAGCCUGCGAGUUGUGGUGUCUGGCAAGGUUAAGCAAACGCGAAGCCGUAGCGAAAGCGAGUCUGAAUAGGGCGCUUAGUCAGAUGCUGCAGACCCGAAACGAAGUGAUCUAUCCAUGAGCAAGUUGAAGCUAGUGUAAGAACUAGUGGAGGACUGAACCCAUAGGCGUUGAAAAGCCCCGGGAUGACUUGUGGAUAGGGGUGAAAGGCCAAUCAAACUUCGUGAUAGCUGGUUCUCUCCGAAAUAUAUUUAGGUAUAGCGUUGUGUCGUAAUAUAAGGGGGUAGAGCACUGAAUGGGCUAGGGCAUACACCAAUGUACCAAACCCUAUCAAACUCCGAAUACCUUAUAUGUAAUCACAGCAGUCAGGCGGCGAGUGAUAAAAUCCGUCGUCAAGAGGGAAACAACCCAGACUACCAGCUAAGGUCCCUAAAUCUUACUUAAGUGGAAAACGAUGUGAAGUUACUUAAACAACCAGGAGGUUGGCUUAGAAGCAGCCAUCCUUUAAAGAAAGCGUAAUAGCUCACUGGUCUAGUGAUUUUGCGCGGAAAAUAUAACGGGGCUAAAGU